AACGUAGGGGACAAGCGUUAUCCGGAUUUACUGGGCGUAAAGCGCCCGUAGGCGGCCUGACAAGUUGGACGUGAAAGCUCCUGGCUUAACUGGGAGAGGCCGUUCAAAACUGUCAAGCUAGAGUCUGGAAGAGGAGAGCGGAAUUCCCGGUGUAGUGGUGGAAUGCGUAGAGAUCGGGAGGAACACCAGUGGCGAAAGCGGCUCUCUGGUCCAAAACUGACGCUGAGGGGCGAAAGCGUGGGGAGCGAAACGGG
rnacentral:rRNA from 1 species